rnacentral:rRNA from 1 species
CCUACGGGAGGCAGCAGUGGGGAAUAUUGCACAAUGGGGGCAACCCUGAUGCAGCGACGCCGCGUGCGUGAAGACGUCUUUAUGUAUGUUAAGCUCUAUCAGCAGGGACGAAAAUGACGGUACCUGAUUAAGAAGCCCCGGCUAACUACGUGCCAGCAGCCGCGGUAAUACGGAGGGGGCAAGCGUUAUCCGGAUUUACUGGGUGUAAAGGGAGCGUAGGCGGGAGCGUAAGUCAGAAGUGAAAUGCCGGGGCUUAACCCCGGAACUGCUUUGGAAACUGUGCAGCUAGAGUGCAGUAGAGGUAAGUGGAAUUCCUGGUGUAGCGGUGAAAUGCGUAGAGAUUAGAAGGAACACCAGUUGCGAAGGCGGCUUACUGGACUGUAACUGACGUUGAGGCUCGAAAGCGUGGGGAGCAAACAGGAUUAGAUACCCGAGUAGUC